GACGAACGCUGGCGGCGUGCUUAACACAUGCAAGUCGAACGGAAAGGCCCUGCUUGCCGGCUACUCGAGUGGCGAACGGGCGAGUAACACGUGGGUGAGUUGCCCUGCACUUCGGGAUAAGCCUGGUAAACUGGGUCUAGUACCGGACAGGAGCCUCUUUUAGCGUGAUGGUUGGAAAGUUUUUUCGGUGUAGGAUGAGCUCGCGGCCUAUCAGCUUGUUGGGGGGGUAAUGGCCUACCAAGGCGGCGGCGGGUAGCCGGCCUGAGAGGGUGGACGGCCACAUUGGGACUGAGGUGCGGCCCAGACUCGUACUGGAGGCAGCAGUGGGGAAUAUUGCACAAUGGGCGCCAGCCUGAUGCAGCGACGCUGCGUGUGGGAGGACGGCCUUCGGGUUGUAAACUCCUUUCGCUAGGAACGAAGCUUUUUGUGACGGUACCUAGAGAAGAAGCACCGGCUAACUACGUG
rnacentral:rRNA from 1 species